CGCGGGGCUGUCACCUCCGCCUCUGCUCCCCGACCCGGCCAUGCGCGGCCUCGGGCUCUGGCUGCUGGGCGCGAUGAUGCUGCCUGCGAUUGCCCCCAGCCGGCCCUGGGCCCUCAUGGAGCAGUAUGAGGUCGUGUUGCCGUGGCGUCUGCCAGGCCCCCGAGUCCGCCGAGCUCUGCCCUCCCACUUGGGAGGGCAGUUCCGGCCCCAGCCCUGUCCUUACCUCAGCAUCCGGGGAACCUACUACCGACCUGCCCGCUGCCCUGGGCUCAUCCAGCCGGUGGCACAGCUAAGGCUGUCCCAGAGCUCUGCAGGCCGAGCCCCAGCCUGCACAUGGGGGCUGGAGAUGCAGUGGUCCAGCAGGAGGCUCUGCAGGCACCACCAGGGCCUGCACCCAGAGAGGGUGAGCUACGUCCUUGGGGCCACAGGGCACAACUUCACCCUCCACCUGCGGAAGAACAGGGACCUGCUGGGCUCCGGCUACACAGAGACCUAUACGGCUGCCAAUGGCUCCGAGGUGACGGAGCAGCCUCGCGGGCAGGACCACUGCUUCUACCAGGGCCACGUAGAGGGGUACCCGGACUCAGCCGCCAGCCUCAGCACCUGUGCCGGCCUCAGGGGUUUCUUCCAGGUGGGGUCAGACCUGCACCUGAUCGAGCCCCUGGAUGAAGGUGGCGAGGGCGGACGGCACGCCGUGUACCAGGCUGAGCACCUGCUGCAGACGGCCGGGACCUGCGGGGUCAGCGACGACAGCCUGGGCAGCCUCCUGGGACCCC
rnacentral:lncRNA from 1 species